rnacentral:lncRNA from 1 species
UCCUCAACUGGAUUCUCCAUUUCUGGAACAUCUUGUUGCUCAAAAGCUUCAACUUCUUUUUCAUCAACAUGUUCAGAAUUCGCUUCUUCCUCCUGUUCUAAUCAAUAACGCUUCAAUGUAUGAAUGAGGAAAUUGGGGAAGAAAAACAUAUAAUGCUUAUGGCAUUGCUCUUAUCCCCAAGAAGGUAGGACCAGAGGAGAAGAAAGAUUUC